ensembl:lncRNA
CGCCAUGUGAGGACACAACAAGAAGUCAGCAGUCUGCAAUCCAGAAGAAGACCCUCUCCAGAACCUGACCAUAGGGGUACCCUGCUGUUCUAGCCUCAGAAUUGUGAGAGAAUAAUUCCCAUUGUUUAUAAGCCACCCAGUCGAUGGCAUUUUGUUAUAGCAGCUUGAACCGACUAAGACAAAUAGGAAGAAUGAAACACACCUCCCCCUGAAAAGUCCACAUCGUAAUUCCAGGGAACUCUGAAUACAUUACCUUACAUGGCGGAAGGGACUUGGCAAACGUGAUGAAGGACUUUGAGACUGAGAUAUCAUUGGGAUUAUCCAGGCUGUCCUCUACAUUGUCCAGAAUCAGGGGUCUGCAGUGGAGGACCCACUUCCAGUACUGAUCAGGAGUCCUGGCUUGAGUGGAAGCUGUAUUUAUCUCAGUUCUGGUAGGGAGAGUACUCCAGAGCCCUGGAGAAGACUGCUCCAGGGACCUCACUGCAUUCCUUUCUUCACUUGCCGGGGUGCUUCUGUCUACAGGCCUGGCUGGGCCAUGUCAGCAUUUCUGGGAUGGAUCAAGGACUUCUAGGAAGGUUGAGUUAGAACCACGAGUUCUGUUUCCAGACCAUAAGGAGCCUAUGGGACACAGCAUCAUGCAGCUGAAGCCCUUCUCUGCUCCAGAUUCCCAGGGUAGACUGUGUGGCCCCAAGGAUCCUGGAUUCACCUGUGAGAGGACCAGCCAGCAGCCAAGACCAUCAGUCCUGCUCCUGGUCCCCGUUUCAGACUCCUAGAAGAUAGAAUCUGAUCCCUUCAGCUUAAGUCUGCCUUCUACUCAUCAGCUCUGAGUGGUCCACGUCGGGACGCCUUACCAGGUGUAUAGCCAUUCCUGUUUUACAGCUUAGCAAGCUGAGGAUCAGAAUGGGCUUGGUUUCCCGUUGGCACGUAGGAUGGGGAGCUCCCUCCCAGAACCCAGCUUUUCCUCCACUCCUCCAAAGGGACUCUUGCUGCUUCCAUCACCCUUGACUACUCUGGGGACAGAACCCCAGAUAAAGCUAAUCUGAACCUGAGGCUGUGUGUGUAAACCUCAUUUCUGAUUCCUAUGAGAAUCCACAUUAGAGGGAUGGGGAUUUCAGUAUGGACAAUAUGGACUUUAAAUAAAAUCCCUCACAGGUAUGCUAGGCCCAGAUGUCACCUCAAGGCAUUUCAAGGUGUCCUUUGGCCUCCUUUGGCAAAGAAAGCAGAUGUUUUAUUUUGUCUUCCCAAGUCAUUCUUAG